rnacentral:misc_RNA from 1 species
ACAGCUGUUACUACAUAGUUUAUCGGAGUAAAUUGGUGUAAAAUGGAUAAAGUAAAACAUGCAAUCGCGCUGGAUUGCGAACGAUUAGUGGAGACGUUUGCGAACAACGAGACCCAUGAGUUUGAAGUCUUCUGCAAGAUCUGGAAGAAGCAGUUUUUCCAGCACAUGUACUCAGCUUUACUCUGGAAUGUCGAGAUCAUCCAAAUGACAGAACAUAUUUUCAAAGCGGUUUCGAGAAUUAUGUUUGAAAAUGAGUCGUUGCGAAAACGAAAGGAGCGAAAAAUUGGAGCUUUAUAUCUAAUUUACGCAGUCUAUUUCAAACAACCAACGGAGCAGUUUGUGAAAUUCAAAGUAACAUUGGAAAAAUGGAAAAUAUUAAAGGAAUUUGUCGAGUCACUGAGAAACGAUCCAACAACUAUCCAAGUUCGAUACAUUUUUCAUAAACUUAUUACAGUGAAUGCAUUCCGGCUUGUGGCAAUGGAAAAUGAUUAUGGCUUUGAAGAUCUUUUCAACAAUGCUAAAGUAAAAAAUAGAAAGAAGCAUCGUCUCAUUUGGAAUACGGUUCAAACAGAUGUUAGUGAGCUUGGUCAUCCGAGGAAUGGCUUGAUCGAAUCGCUUAGCAUAUUAGAAGGUGGCUACAAUGAAAUGAAGACAAUUCUCAAUUCGCAAGCCCAACAAUCCGGGGAUAGUUCCUUCGCGCCUCUACCGAUGUCGCAAUUUAUGGAUGAAGUCAAAAGUUCGUUCAAAAGUAUUUCAGAUUUACUGAAACCCAACAUGGGAGAAGAACGAGAUUCUAACGCAUCAAAACCUAAUGUAAAAAAGGAAAAAAUUGAAGACAUAAGAAGAAGCCUUAAAAGAAAAGCUUUUCGAACUGAUGGCAAUGAUGAGGAUGCUCAAUACGAGGUCUCACUGCAUGGGGAUAUGAUUCAGAUUGCAAGAAAUGAUAGAAGGCUUCGUGUUAACAAUCAAAAAAUCAGUCAAAUAUUUGAGCAAGAUUUACCUGAAGACACUCGUAAGGAACUUUAUGCGGAAGACGAACAAAGUUUGAAUGAUUCAAGCACGAGCGACGUAGCUAUGCCCGCGAUAUGAAGUCUUUUUGUCGGUCACUAGAAUUACAUAGAUCUGCAUACGUGAUUAGAUAGAUUAAUGAUUAAGUUUUGUAGGUCCUCUAUGCGUACAUAAGCCAUCAGGGAUACUUAUCACCUAACUCGAUCAGCAUCACAUUUAAACAAAAUAGCGAUAAAAAGGUAGUUCUAUGCAAUCUGUAAAGAUACAGGUGCGAUAUGGAAGAAAUUAUCAAAAAAAUAAUUUGUUUUCAUUUUUACUAAGCAUGAAAUUUCUUAUCGGAGAUAAACAUGAGUGGAUAGUACUACAAAAACCCAGUCAAUGGCUUCUGUUUCGUGUUUCGAAACAAGCGGUGAAUGGCUUAGACUGUAAUCAAAAAUAGAUUAAUAACUGACGUUCCUUGUUCUUGCUCAUUGCAUUGUUUACAGUGCGGAAUAUGUUUUUAUUAUUGUUGAAAUUUAAGGUGCGCGUGUUUUUAAAUGAUUUGCAGGUUUUGAGCAUGGGAAAUUAUGGUUUUCAACAUGUGAUUUGAAAAGAAAAUUCGUUCUGUACGACAACGUUCCCAAGUCAAUUCAAAUACUUAAUUCACAUCAGCUGGACAUGUAUCUAGGUAUCUAUCACAUCAUGAAUGGACUCGUAGGUUAACUGUUUGGAAAUGGAUUAAAUUUUGAAGUAUAUUGCGUACAUACACCUUAUGAAUUUUGUAAUUAUAUACACAGAAGAAACUGUGAGGUCAGUGUCAAUUUAUUUAAAAAUGUGUGAAAGACAACAAAAGCAGUGAACUUCGACAGGUGGAUUGGAUUAUGUCUUAAGUUGAAUUAGCUAGCUAUUUCUGGCGUUGCUACCAAUGCUGAAAAAAGUCUCUAUUAUUAUCUCUUCACCAAAUGUGCUACAGGCCUUUUAAAGUUUCUAGCUGACGCUUUCGUACGUACAAUUUUCAGUUAAUUGAAGAACUCAAUCCAACCCAGGUCUUUCUGAAUUUUCACUAACUAGAUCGUGUAGAAGUUGAAAAUGCAGAAAACAUCAAGGACGUGGUGGGAGAUUGGCUAUUAUAUGAUAAUGUAGCGUUUGUUCUAGCUAGGUAAGUGAUUCGAAUAGGAUAUUGUUUUA